ACACUGGAGGGAGGCGGGGCGGGAGAAGCAAGAUGAAGAGAAGGAAGGGACAGGACAGGAGAACAGGAACGUGUCUCAGAGAAAAAAAAAAGCUACGCUUUUUGAAAGUUAUCUUGCAGUUCAGGAGCUCGGAAGCGAUCCUGGAGGCAGUGGUGGGACAUCACUGCAGGACCUGCUCCGGAGAAGAGGACUGCCCUCACAGCUGCAUCGCGCAAGAUGACUGACGAGCAGCGUGGGAGAAAGCAGGGCUGGGAACAGGAAGAUUGGUCGGUAGAAAAGUUAUUCUCCUGGAGAUACAACUUGCUUGCUGUUCCAGGAGAAAAGGAGUUCCACAGGGAAGGCAGAGAAGCCCUGCUCUUCCUGCCCCAGGAGGCGGAGGGAGAAGAGAAAAAGACAGUGGUCCUGAUGUUCUCAAGGCCCUGGUGGAUGCGAAAACUUCUGGCUGCCCUUUCCAAGCCCACCAAAGACAGGCUGGAAGGAUGGGCUGUGAACUCCGAACGAAGCUGCAAACGCGUGUGAAUCCCAAGCUCCCAGGUAAAAGUUAUUACCAGUGCACAGCUCCCAGCCUUCACUGCUCACAGUCAGGGAGCUGCUGAAGUAGAGCCCGGAUGGCAUCUCACUGGGGGAAGCCUGGGAGACUCAUGCCUGGGACAGGGGAAAGUCAGAUGGCAUCUCAGUCUCCAUGGACUUUGUGACUACAUUUUCUGGAUCUUCCCAAGAUGGGGAAUUUGCAGUGUGCAGGCUCCUGCCUCCAGAUCAACCCUAGAGAAGCCAGAGAAGCAAGAGGGGAAGAUUCCGGGAAGGGAGAAUGACAAUGACCACGCAGACCUGGUGGACCUUUGACCCUUCCCCAAACACAGCACUGGAAAAUGGUAGCUGGUAUUCCCAGGGACGCUGUGAACUCAUCUGAGCACAACUAGACCCCUGAGGAGUUCUGAUGCCAAAAAAAAGUAUUUGCACAACAAACACCAUCUAACAGAGAAGUAUUACAAGGGCCAGGGCCAAGGGGGGAGGGUGGAAGAAGUGGGAUGGACGGGGAGCUUGGGGUGGGGGGAUGCAAACUAUUACAUUUAUAACCAAUGAGGUCCUGCUGUACAGCACAGGGAACUCUAUCCAGUCUCUUGGGAUAGACCAUGAUGGACGAUAACAUGAGAAAAAGAAUCUCUGUGUGUACGACAGGGUCACUGCUGUACAGCAGAAACUGACUCAACCCUGUAAAUCAAUUUUUUUUUUCUUUUUGCCAUUUCUUGGGCCGCUCCCGUGGCACAUGGAAGUUCCCAGGCUAGGGGUUGAAUUGGAGCUGCAGCUGCUGGCCUACGCCAGAGCCACAGCAGCGCAGGAUCCAAGCAGCAUCUGCAACCUACCCCACAGCUCACGGCAACACUGGAUCCUUAACCUGCUGAGCGAGGCCAGGGGUCGAACCCACAACCUCAUGGUUCCUAGUCGGAUUCGUUAACCACUGAGCCACAAUGGGAACUCGAACACUGUAAAUCAGUUAAUACUCUAAUAUACUAUAGUC
rnacentral:lncRNA from 1 species